rnacentral:lncRNA from 1 species
UACUUUUGACAUUUAAUAUAUUAUGGCUUCCUGGGUUUCUCACAAUUAAUCAUGGCUAACAGUCUAUUAUAUAUGUUUUCAUGGAUUUGUGAGAUUUUAGUACUCUGGCAUGUGCAGAAAUUUAGAUAGAUGUAUGGCAUGUCGAGUGAUACAUAUCAGCGUUGUUCUCUCCUCUGGCUGAUGAUCCAGGAUAGGUAUCCUAUCAACAAUUCAACAUCCUCACCGUUGGCAUCCGACACAUCAAAGAAUAUGUAUGUAAUUAAUUUGAUUCCCUCUAUUGGUUGAAUAUGUCCAAUUUUGUGUAGCUUAGUCACGUGUCAUUCAUACAUGAUGCACUUGAGCUUUGAGUAAUCCACUUCUGCUUAUAGUUUUUUGCACCUUUUUCUUUUAGUUGAGUUCUUCAAUGAAUGGAGUGCUCAGCUUUGAGUUCUAGCACUUCAUGUUUUCGGGCAACAUGAGCACCCAUGGGUUAUAAGCUGUUAUAUGAUUGGUUCCUUUUUUUAGAUACCUGAUCAUCGAUUUGUAUUUAAUUGACACCUAUGCCACACUUUCGACAACAAUCAACGAAGUUUGAUAUAUUAAGAUAUUAACCUUUGGGUUGUUGCAACGGCAUCAUCUCUGUUUCAGGUAUGUGAUCAUUAAUCAUCAUGAUGAGUUCACAUUUGUGACUAGGAAAAUCCAUUUUUUCCACAAGACCUAAGCAAUUCAAAUAUUUUAUAUGGAUUUUUAAUUGUAAUGAGACCCUAAUCACGCAGUCUCUCUGUAGCAGUUUUGCCUUAUCAUUCAAAAGUUCAUUGCGUUAAGAACAACCCCUUUAGUUAUACUUGUCAUUAUUUGUAAAUGUUUUAUAGCGUAAUGUCUUACCACCUACAUUUUCAAAUUUUAAAUGUAUAAACAGUUUGUACAUGCUUUUCAAUACUAGCCCGUGUAGAUGCACGGGUUGACGACUAGUUUUAUUAAUUUCCCACACCUACCUUUUUUUUGAGAUAGCUUACCAGGCUUGCUGCCUAGUAUUUCCCACACCUACCUUCACAUGUCUAAACAACACUCACCGACUCCUAUAUAUUUGACCCCGGUUGAACGCUAGGAAAGCUAGUCCAUCAUCUCUCAUCGAUCCAUGCUUUUUACAUAUCCAUAUAACUCCCUCUUGACCAUUUUCAUAAAGUAAGUAGAUUUUCAAUUCACAUAAACAGAUGAGAUCAUGUUGAGACUGAAAAUCAAGAUAAUAUUAGUAAACACGUAUGACUGGGAGACACAAGGAAAUAAACAAAUAUAUCAAUAAACACUUGGGCAACCAGGAGCAUUCAUGUUGCCGAGUUGGAUUUUGAGCUUGGCGCAAGCUAGAAAUAACCUAGUGCACUCUUGACUUGGGUUUUGUGUGAGUCAUGUUGUUUGACUUGUUCGUUCCACGGGCCAAAUCCAGCUUCUCCCAAGCUCGCUAGUCAUUUUUUAGCCCGAGCAUACCACAAUAAGCGAGGUCCGACAGACUAGAGGGCUAUGUCUUCAACAUCUUAUAGGCAAUGUUUUAUAUACUUUAUCCACAUUUCUUGGUUGAUAUCACUUAUUGUUUGUCAUGGGUGAGGGCCAGUUCUCUCUUUGUUAUUUCAAAUCUCAAAAGGGUUGUCGUGUGGUGUUUUGGCAUAAUAGCGAGUGGAUGCUCAAUUUUCCCAUUUAGAGGGAGCCACACUAAUAUUAUAGAGUUACGUGGACACGUUUGCACGCGAGGAGAAGUAAAGCCUCCAUGAAAAAUCGACAUCCUUAGCGUCAGGUUUUCCUGAAGUAGUGAGACCAAAGAUCCAGAUCAUGGAUCAAAAGUUGCAGGAAGGUAACACUACUGAUGUCUUGGCCUCAAAAGGUUUUGGAUUUUCUGGCGUCCCAAAUCUUCUAUAUGAUGAGAGGUAAAAUAGUGUGCCACUUAUGAAUGUCAAGGGUUGAUCAUAGAUCGCAUCCCAAAAGUAGAUCGAUGUUGGAAGAGGGGCAGAUGUUGAGCUUCUCCUAGAUUCUGAGGGUGAACGUGCGACGGAGGAAGAUAUGAGCAAUGUCUUCCUUGCACAUGGUAGCACUUGGGGCACUGGUUUUGAGGAGUUAAACUAGAAUUACUUGAACCUUUAG